rnacentral:rRNA from 1 species
AUCGAGAGAUUGGUAGAGGAGCAUUGACAGCGCGCCGAAGCUGUACCGGAAGGCGCAGUGGAGUGCUGUGAAGAGAGAAUGCCGGAAUGAGUAGCGAGAGUAAGGUGAGAAUCCUUACGGCCGAAUAUCCGAGGUUUCCAGAGUAAAGCUGAUCUGCUCUGGGUAAGUCGGGACCUAAGGCGAGGUCGAAAGACGUAGCUGAUGGACAACAGGUUGAAAUUCCUGUACUACGGUAUGAAAGAAAUGUGGGGACGCAUGUGGAGAGCAUGAGCCGGGAAAGGAAAGACCGGUGCAAGCGGGACAGUAGCCAUGCAGGCAAAUCCGUGUGGCAAUACGGAGACGUGACGCGGACCGAAAUAAAGUAGGGAAGCAUGUGAGCCAUGUGCCAAGAAAAGCCGCUAUAGAUCAUACCGUACCCGUACCGUAAACCGACACAGGUAGAUGAGGAGAGAAUCCCAAGGCCGACGGGAGAAGCAUUGUUAAGGAACUCGGCAAAAUGACCCCGUAACUUCGGGAGAAGGGGUGCCCACGCGAGUGGGCCGCAGAGAAUAGGCUCAAGCAACUGUUUAGCAAAAACACAGGUCUAUGCGAAACCGAAAGGUGAGGUAUAUGGGCUGACGCCUGCCCGGUGCUGGAAGGUUAAGAGGAGGAGUCAGGCAACGAAGCUCCGAAUUUAAGCCCCAGUAAACGGCGGCCGUAACCAUAACGGUCCUAAGGUAGCGAAAUUCCUUGUCGGGUAAGUUCCGACCCGCACGAAAGGCGUAAUGAUUUGAGCACUGUCUCGACAAUGCACCCGGUGAAAUUGAAGUACCAGUGAAGAUGCUGGUUACCUGCGCCAGGACGGAAAGACCCCAUGGAGCUUUACUCCAGUUUGAUACUGGGAUUCGAUACUGAAUGUACAGGAUAGGUGGGAGGCUGAGAAGCGUGGACGCCAGUCUGCGGUGAGCCGCUGUUGGGAUACCACCCUUUGAGUAUUGGAUUUCUAACCUGCGCCCGUGACCCGGGCGGGGGACAAUGUCUGACGGGGAGUUUGACUGGGGCGGUCGCCUCCGAAAGGGUAUCGGAGGCGCUCAAAGGUUCCCUCAGAAUGGUUGGAAACCAUUCGCAGAGUGCAAAGGCAGAAGGGAGCUUGACUGUGACACCGACGGGUGGAGCAGGUACGAAAGUAGGACUUAGUGAUCCGGUGGUAUGAGAGUGGGAUUGCCAUCGCUCAACGGAUAAAAGCUACCCUGGGAUAACAGGCUAUCACUCCCAAGAGUUCACAUCGACGGAGUGGUUUGGCACCUCGAUGUCGGCUCAUCGCAUCCUGGGGCUGUAGCAGGUCCCAAGGGUUGGGCUGUUCGCCCAUUAAAGCGGUACGCGAGCUGGGUUCAGAACGUCGUGAGACAGUUCGGUCCCUAUCCGGCGCAGGCGUAGGAUAUUUGAGAGGAGCUGUCCUUGGUACGAGAGGACCGGGAUGGACAGACCGCUGGUGUAUCUGUUGGUGACCAACACCAUGGCAGAGUAGCCAAGUCUGGCAGGGAUAAACGCUGAAGGCAUCUAAGCGUGAAGCCCCCCUCAAGAUGAGAUAUCCCAAUAAGUAAGACCCCUUAGAGAGUAUGAGGUAGAUAGGCUUAAGGUGUAAUCAUAGUAAUAUGUUCAGCUGAUAAGUACUAAUAGGUCGAGGGCUUAUCUA